UACGUAGGGCGCAAGCGUUAUCCGGAAUUAUUGGGCGUAAAGAGCUCGUAGGCGGGCAAUCAGGUCCGGGGUGAAAUCUCUCGGCCCAACCGGAAAAGGGCCUUGGAUACUGCUUGUCUGGAGGGAGGUAGGGGCAGACGGAACUUCCGGUGGAGCGGUGAAAUGCGUUGAUAUCGGAAGGAACGCCGGUGGCGAAAGCGGUCUGCUGGACCUCUACUGACGCUGAGGCGCGAAAGCCAGGGGAGCGAACGGG
rnacentral:rRNA from 1 species